GAGGGUAUAGCUUAGUUGGUAGAGUGCUUGCCUCAUAUGCACAAGGGCUCAGGUUUGAUCCUUAGCACCCUCC
rnacentral:tRNA from 1 species